rnacentral:lncRNA from 1 species
AUGUACUUGGGGUUUUCUGUUCUCUCUCAUAUUCCCUUUGAUACAUAUAUUCUCAUGCUACCUAAGUGCUGCUUGCCUCGCCAGAGGCUGCCCAGAAGCACAUAUGCUUGGCCAAAAGCCUUGUGUGGCUGCAUGUUUGGAGAAAGAUCCUUUGGAAAGGGGAGGAUGAGGAAGCAGCAAUGCCACAGUUGUUCUUGGCACACCACAAUCCAGCCAGUAUCAAGGGCCAGGAUGCUUUUUUUUUUCUUCUUUUUUUCUUUUUUACCUCCUCUCUUCUCUCCAGCGAACAUCCUGGGAAGCUUUCAAGGGAGGAUUCUGAGACAGAGUGACCGGGACAGCAUGCAGGUGGUACCGAUGCACAUGGACGAGGUAGUUCCUACCCAGGGACUGUCUCCAUGUCUGCAGCCCAGCAGAGACAGCACUGCCUCAAUCAUGCCUGGAUGUUCACACUCCUUCGGGAAGUCCUGCAGUCUUCAGAAAUGAUUGGUGCGCCUGCCCUUUCAUAUGGAGAAUUAACUGUUCUCAGCUGUGCCUUAUUAUUCCUGGUGGUGUGCUAUUAAAGAGGCUUCUGGCCCCAGAACCGAGUCACAGACAACAUCAUCUGUACUGAUGUGCAAGCAGACAUGUUUAAAAGGACCUCAGCUCAGGUAGGCAUCAUGGCCCAAAGUGCACCAAGUGGCUCUGCAACCUCCUCUUUUUCUCCAAACCUCUUCCUCAAACGGGGCUGAGCCUGGCUCCCUGUGGCUGUCGGCUCAGCUCCUGUGGUGCAGGUGCAGCAGGGUGCACCCCACUGCUCUUGACAGCCUGCAAGAAAGGAAAUGACCUGCCUAUCUGCAGCCAAUGCCUUCAAUUUAGCUGCAAAUUUGUGUCCAGCAAGGUGAAAAAACUGAAAGCUUUGAUAUUGGUAGGUGAAUUCUGUACUUAUGUCCUUGGGCUAGUCUUCUGGCUUCUGAGUUCUAGCUAAAGUAAUAAAGAAAAAAAUCCCAAC